rnacentral:rRNA from 1 species
AUGAGCCACCAUGUCCGUAAGAGCUCAAGUGUAGAGCUCGCAUGCCAUCAUCUGGCUCCCUUAAAUGUUCAAGUGUACAGCGACCGCGCCGUCUGCGAGUCCCUCCUCAUCGUCGAGUACAUCGACGAGGCCUUCCACGACGGGGACGAGGGGUCGGCGCCACGGCUCCUCCCGGCGGACCCCUACGACCGCACCACUGCAAGCUUCUGGGCUGACUUCAUCGCCAACAAGUGCUUGAAGCCGCUGUGGCAGGCGAUGUGGACGGACGGGGAGGAGCAGGCACGGCUAGCGAGGGAGACCAAGGAGAGCCUGGGCAUCCUGGACGCGCAGCUGGAGGGGAAGAGGUUCUUCGGGGGCGACGCGCUCGGCUUCGUCGACCUCGCCGCAUGCACGCUGGCUCACUGGCUCGGCGUGCUGGAGGAAGUCGCCGGCGUGCGCCUGAUGAAGGAUGGCGAGUACCCUGCUCUGCGCCGGUGA